rnacentral:rRNA from 1 species
CGUGCCGUGAGGUGUUGGGUUAAGUCUCGCAACGAGCGCAACCCCUACUAUUAGUUGCCAUCAGGUUAUGCUGGGCACUCUAAUGGGACUGCCUACGCAAGUAGUGAGGAAGGUGGGGAUGACGUCAAGUCAGCAUGGCCCUUACGCCUAGGGCUACACACGUGCUACAAUGGGUACUACAACGGGUUGCUAAGCCGCAAGGUGGAGCCAAUCCCUUAAAGGUAUCCUCAGUUCGGAUUGGAGUCUGCAACUCGACUCCAUGAAGUUGGAAUUGCUAGUAAUCGCGUAUCAGCGCGACGCGGUGAAUACGUUCCCGGGCCUU